rnacentral:lncRNA from 1 species
ACCCCCUUAAUUUUUAACAGCUAAGAACAAAUAUUCACAAGAAAACAGCAAAAAAUAGAUUUAACCAUAACUGUAAAAUCAUUUGGGCAUGACACUCAAACACACUCACAUAUUCAUGUAUUUGUGGCAGAAAGUGAUCAGAGCAAGUAAAAUAAGCACUAGCCUGAUGGAAACUGCAGGGUGGUAUUAGGCAAAGAGAUGCAAAAUUUUAUCUACUUUAAAGCUAUUGUGUACAUUAAUCAAAUAGUGAUUUAAAAAUUACAACUAUUCACCUGAAUGACUUCCGACCAAAGUAAAAACUUUACCUUUCUACUUAGGAUCCAUUCAAUGGUAUAAAAACCUCAUAGAUGCAAACAUAUUUAUAUUUUUGUAGAUAUAAAGGUUUGCAUAUAAUUUAACUCAGGGAAAAAAACCUCCACUAGAAAAAGCAAAAAAUAAUUAGGCAAUGAAGCAUUUUCAAACCCAAAUUCCUGU